rnacentral:rRNA from 1 species
AGAGUUUGAUCCUGGCUCAGGAUGAACGCUAGCGGCAGGCCUAAUACAUGCAAGUCGAACGGUGUAGUAAUACACAGUGGCGCACGGGUGCGUAACGCGUAUGCAACCUACCCAUCAAUGGGGCAUAGCCCGGGGAAACCCGGAUUAAUCCGCAUAAGAAGAGUGAAGGCAUCCUUUACUUUUGAAACAUUUAUGGUUGAUGGAUGGGCAUGCGUUAGAUUAGCUAGUUGGCGGGGUAAAGGCCCACCAAGGCAAUGAUCUAUAGGGGUUCUGAGAGGAAGAUCCCCCACACUGGUACUGAGAUACGGACCAGACUCCUACGGGAGGCAGCAGUAGGGAAUAUUGGGCAAUGCCCGCAAGGGUGACCCAGCCAUGCCGCGUGCAGGAAGAAGGCCUUCUGGGUUGUAAACUGCUUUUGGAAGGGAACAAAAUGGGCCUGCGGGCCAACUUGAGUGUACCUUCAGAAUAAGCACCGGCUAACUCCGUGCCAGCAGCCGCGGUAAUACGGAGGGUGCAAGCGUUGUCCGGAUUUAUUGGGUUUAAAGGGUGCGUAGGCGGCUUAUUAAGUCAGGGGUGAAAGACUAUUGCUUAACAAUGGCAGUGCCUUUGAUACUGAUAGGCUUGAGUACAGCUGAGGCAGAUGGAACGGGUGGUGUAGCGGUGAAAUGCAUAGAUACCAUCCAGAACACCGAUUGCGAAGGCAGUCUGCUAAACUGUAACUGACGCUGAGGCACGAAAGCGUGGGGAUCGAACAGGAUUAGAUACCCUAGUAGUCC